AGUGAACGCUGGCGGUAGGCCUAACACAUGCAAGUCGAACGGCAGCACAGUAAGAGCUUGCUCUUACGGGUGGCGAGUGGCGGACGGGUGAGGAAUACAUCGGAAUCUACUUUUUCGUGGGGGAUAACGUAGGGAAACUUACGCUAAUACCGCAUACGACCUACGGGUGAAAGCAGGGGAUCUUCGGACCUUGCGCGAUUGAAUGAGCCGAUGUCGGAUUAGCUAGUUGGCGGGGUAAAGGCCCACCAAGGCGACGAUCCGUAGCUGGUCUGAGAGGAUGAUGAGCCACACGGGAAGAUAGACACGGUCCAGACUCCUACGGGAGGGAGCAGUGGGGAAUAGUGGAGAAGGGGGGCAAGCCUGAUCCAGCCAUAUCGCGUGGGUGAAGAAGGCCUUCGGGUUGUAAAGCCCUUUUGUUGGGAAAGAAAAGCAGCAGGUUAAUACCCCGCUGUUCUGACGGUACCCAAAGAAUAAGCACCGGCUAACUUCGUG
rnacentral:rRNA from 1 species